rnacentral:rRNA from 1 species
GUGGCGGACGGGUGAGUAACACGUGAGAAUUUGCCUUUAGGAGGGGGAUAACAGAGUGAAAACGCUGCUAAUACCCCAUAUGCUUUCGAGUGAAAUGGAUUUAUUCGCCUAAAGAGAAGCUCGCGGCUGAUUAGCUUGUUGGUAAGGUAAUGGCUUACCAAGGCGACGAUCAGUAUCUGGUUUGAGAGGACGAUCAGACACACUGGAACUGAGACACGGUCCAGACUCCUACGGGAGGCAGCAGUGGGGAAUUUUCCGCAAUGGGCGAAAGCCUGACGGAGCAAUACCGCGUGAGGGAUGACUGCCUAUGGGUUGUAAACCUCUUUUCUCAGGGAGGAAAUCAAUGACGUUACCUGAGGAAUAAGCAUCGGCUAACUCCGUGCCAGCAGCCGCGGUAAGACGGAGGAUGCAAGUGUUAUCCGGAAUCACUGGGCGUAAAGCGUCUGUAGGUGGCUUAACAAGUCAACUGUUAAAUCUUGAAGCUCAACUUC